GCGCGCAGGGGCCGCCUCCACAACCCGGCGCGCCGCCGCUGCCGCCUCAGCCCAACAUGGCGAUGCACAACAAGGCGGCGCCGCCGCAGAUCCCGGACACCCGGCGGGAGCUGGCGGAGCUCGUGAAGAGGAAACAGGAGCUGGCGGAAACACUGGCAAACUUGGAGAGACAGAUCUAUGCUUUUGAAGGAAGCUACCUGGAAGACACUCAGAUGUAUGGCAACAUUAUUCGUGGCUGGGAUAGAUAUCUGACCAACCAAAAAAACUCCAAUAGCAAAAAUGAUCGAAGGAAUCGCAAGUUUAAGGAAGCAGAGCGGCUCUUCAGUAAAUCCUCAGUUACUUCAGCAGCCGCAGUAAGUGCGUUGGCAGGAGUUCAGGACCAGCUCAUUGAAAAGAGGGAACCAGGAAGUGGGACGGAAAGUGAUACUUCUCCAGACUUCCACAACCAGGAAAAUGAGCCCAGCCAGGAGGACCCUGAGGAGCUGGAUGGCUCUGUGCAGGGAGUGAAACCUCAGAAGGCUGCUUCUUCCACUUCCUCAGGGAGUCAUCACAGCAGCCAUAAAAAACGAAAGAAUAAAAACCGGCACAGCCCGUCUGGCAUGUUUGAUUAUGACUUUGAGUAUGUAUAUUAGGUUAGGCUGGGAAGUUUUUUUUAAAAACAGAAAAACGUGAUGGAGGAUUGAUCUGAAGUUAAACAAAAAACCACGAGCUGACUAUUAGAAGACUCAUUAGUGCAGAAGCUUCCAGGCCGUAGAGCCCUGCCUCCCUCCUCCGACCUCACAAAGACAAACACCCCUCACCCGAGUGUGUGGCCACCAUCUCUGCUUUCCCAGACCCAGUGCCUGUGUCUCUGAGUAGUUUGUUCUGAAAUGUGACAAACCAGUCAUUUCCGUAAGACCACAUCGGAUCGUUUACUUUGUGUCAUGUUUAGUAACAGAACUGCAGGAAGACCAAGACAUGGUUAUAAUCCCAGCAAGUUGCUAACUGAAUCUCUCUCUUCUUGGAACAAAUGUCUCCCCCCAAACUGGCUGGCACCAGCUUCGUCUGCGAUACCCAUUGGGAAAUGGUCUCUGCUCUUGUUUUAUGCUGAAAGAACACAGGUUACAUUUCAGAGGGAGGCUGUAAAUACCUGGCAUUUUCUUAUUUUGUUUGUGUUUUAUCAUUUUUCUAUUGUUGUUUUUACCAUCUUAUUUUCAUUUUGGGACUUCUUUUGUAACGCCUUUGUACGGCUCAUACCUUCCUGUCAACAUAUCUGAUCAUCUGUUUCGUGGAGUUGCCAGUAUUCCUAACAGAAAGUGAUCUGGUUUACCACAAAUAAAAUGGGGAACUUGGCUCUUUGUUUUGUUGCAGGGGAAAGGUACAGAGUGUUUGUUUAAUAAUUACCUAUCUUAAAAUCUCUGAGUUGGAAGCAGUUUCAUGUUCAAGGAAUAGGAAAAACUGAAAAACGAAGUUUUAAUCAGUACUUUUAAAAUAGAUAUUUUUAUUCUUUUGUAUAAAUAAAAUUUCACAGGUUUUGAUUUCUCAUGCUUAGUUUUAAACCUGAGAUUGUUUUUUUCACUUAUUUAUUUGUAUCAUGCCUUAUGGAAAUUUCCUUUUCCAUCUUUUCUCUCGUUGCUGGUAUUUGCCCGGUUAAAUAUUGCUCUUCAAAUCAUUAAGGCAUAUGGAAAGCCUCAAAAUUGUGCCCAAAGCGGAUAACUUAUGGAGCUCUUGAACAGGGUGAAACAUAGGAUCAACGAGAGCCAUCAGUGCCCAACAGACCCCUCUUCCUUAUGGGUGUGAUGGGCCAAGGAACUCACUGGUAAUUGUUCCCUGCCUCUGGCGCAGUGGUCAUCUCCCUUGGCUGCAUUUUGGAAUCCCCUAGGAAGCUAAAAAAAAUACUAAUGCCUGGGUCCAACCCCCAGAGACUCUUAGCUAGGUAGGGUACCAUCUAGUUAUGGGGAUUUCCUUUCAAAGAGUCCCUGGGACUCUGAUAAGAAGCCAAGCUGAGAACCAUUGCAUUCAGAGACUGGAUGGUGUGAUUUAAAUCCCAUGUUGUGAAUCAGUCUAAGGGGUAAGAUUUGGGCCUCCCCUUUCCUUUGCCUCUAUUUAGUUGUAGUCCUUUACUUAUGCCCAGAUCUUUGUUAGAAAAAAUAUGUUCCAUUUGUGAUAAUAUUGGUAGAGCUGAAUAUGGGUGGUGUCUAUUAAAUCAAAACAAUUCUACCUUGUCAGAUGUGCAGAAGCUUUCACUCUUGUUCUCAAAUAAACUUGGUUUUGUUUUGGA